AUUAAAGAGCUGAGGCAGAGUUGAUGAAUGACAUACUACACUUUAGGUAGCUGGUUGGCUGCCCAGCUCGGUACAGUCAUGAGCAGAAUGAACUAGCUCAGCUGCUGUACAGAGUAGAUCUGUAACAAUACAACCCUCUGUCUGCACUGGUCCAGCUGCUGAGUAAGCUCACUUUGAGCCAUUACAGCUCUGCAAGGGAUCUGCUAAACCUUUCCACUCAGGAAAUCUCUAGAAUCCUCCACGAAAGUUAGUCAGAAAAUAGGCCUUAGGCCAUUUUCUAAAUUUCUUAAUCUGUAAUGAAAGGUGUGACUAAAUUACCUGGGAGCAGCUCCCUGUGGUGGAUAUUAAUGUAUACUUCUACAGUUAACCACAACAUUAAUAAAGAUGUUUCAGAGAUUCUUCUCCUAAACUCUCAGCACAAUCAUUUUAAGACAACUAUAACUUGUCUUGAGUGAAACAUUUAGAGGUUUUGGAAAACCCUUGCUGAAGAGAUAGCUGUCUUCUACCCACCAAUUAUUUUUCUAGUAGUCUUGUGUCUUUUUUCUACAGUUGCUGCCAACAUCAUAUAGAAGAUUUAAGACUAGACUGGAAAGGACAUGUUGUAGGCCAGGACAUCCAGAACUACCAAUUAUCAGCAAAUCUGAGUGUUCUACUCAUACUUAAGCUUAAAAUUACUUAUGAAGCUGUUUUCCUGCUCUGGACUCAGUGUUUCUUAAGUUAAAGCAAUCCUUUUCAUAAAAGUUCAUUUUAUCUUGUGAGAGGUCUUCAUCUUAAGAGGGAAAAUAGUCUUUUCUCUCUCCCUGAAGUUUAUGCUCAUGAUGUGCUUCCACAGUGUUACAUCUCGUCUCCAUUUUUCGUUUGUUAUUUCAUUUGCUUUUCACAUCAUGGAUUUGCCAUGUCCUGAUAUUCUUAUCUGUCAAGACGAAUGUGUCUUUCCUGAAUCUGAGUGACUAAACACCUACACAGUACUUGAGAAGCUUGAUAAUAUCAGUUUCAAAAUCUCGAAAAUUAUUGAUACCUUUUCUGUCUUCCACUCCAAAGAGACAUUUAUUGGUGACGUCUCUGGUCUUAUAGCGGCUUCUUAUUGUUCUCCCAAGACCUGAUUGCUUAGUUUGAAGGCAUUCUCCCAUUACCCUCCUUUAGCAGUUUCUCAGUCACAGUUUCUCAGUCACCUAUUCCCACUAAAGUAGAAUUUCCUUCAUUCAUUUACCAGCUCAACACCCUAAUGUUAUCUAAAAGCCUUACAUAGCUUUUGUUUUCCCAAUUUAACAUAUUAGCAUAAUAUAAUUGAAACUGCUUGUGAAGUCCAGAAACAUUAAUUUCAAGGCAUUGUUGAUUACAUUGUUCUAAUACUAGCAGUAAUAUCUCGAUUGUAUGAUAAUAUACCCACUGGACAGAAGAACACAUGCUUAAUAAGCUUUGUUAUCUACUUUGAAGCUAAUUACUUCUGUGGGUUUUGAUUCACAAGACAUUCUGGUUUUAAAAAGUUUCUCAAAACAUCCUGCUCCACCAUCACUUUUUUAACCUCGCCAACAUGUUGCUCUUUCUCACUCUGUUUGCCAAACGUAACAAUGCCUCUCCACAGUGGUCUUUCAACAAAAUUUAUCAACUGCCCCAUGAUCUUAACAAGCAUAUAUUUCUUUUAAGACCUUCUAGCAAAGGAAGCAAUGAAGCCUAGUUUAUGAAUUCAGGUCUUGUAGUUGGAUUCUCUAGCAUGUAAUUAGGUAUGAUGUCUAAUUAAAGCUUUUCUCACAAUUAGGACACUCAUAAUAGUAGUCUGCUGUGGAUUCCCUCAUGUCUCUAGGGGAUUGUAUUCAUAAACCAGGUUUUCUGUCACAAGGUGGACUUCAGAGGUCUGCUUGAACUAUCUAGUUCCUCAUUUUUAUGAACAUAAUAAGAACAUAUUAUCUUUGCAGCUACUAACACUGUGAAAUCGGCUCAUAUGAUGAUAAGAUAGGAAGCGAGAAAGAGAGCACAAAAAGGGAAACACAGGUAGAGACAAGUAGAGAAGGAGAGGAAAUAACCACUUAAGCCUCAUAUCCUUAGGAAAUAUCUAAAAUAUCUAAUUCUGAUUCAUAUCUCCUUACAGCAUACAGCAGUAUGUGCCACUUGCACACACUUAGAGAAAUACAAAUUCAACUUUUCAACUUCCAAGGAGAAAUAUGAAAGACAAAGCCAGGCUCUGUGCUGAAACAACUGCUGCUUCACUUUUAACCCAAUUUCAAACCUCUUCCUCCUUCCUCAGAUUGUCUAGAUUUUAUAAGAAUUGCAUGAAACUCUUCUCACACAAUAUUUCUCUUCUUGUCUCACCUACAAACCUGUAUUCCACAAAUGUCCAGAUAAAAUGUUUUAAACACGAGAAUAAUGGCUAAGAGUUUUUGCUAAAGAACAACCAUUCCCCAACUGUUCACUCAAACAGAAGCUGCUCACAAAUAAGCAUUCAGCCAAACAGCUAUUAAAAAAAAUUCUUCAGCAGCCUACGAUACUGCAUAUUUAGGCAUCUACUUGUCUCAGUUCUUGUAGACAGACCACCAUGCUAAAUAGACUCCUAGUUUAACCCAGUUUCAUCUUUUUUAUGUCCUCAGACAAAAGUGCUAUGUUGAGCUUUCCAUAACAGCAUCUCAAAACUGACCCACAGGCGCCAAAGAUUUUCAUUCCUGAAGACCAAUGGCAGGACCACAUUCACCAGGCAACUUCUCAAAUCCCUUUCUUAGACAGUGCACAACAGUCUUUGUGCACUCUUCAGGCAAUCCCAGUGACAUCUCUUUCAGUCAGCCUCAGAUAUAAGAGCAGGUGGCAGACUGUCUAAAGGCAUUGUUUAUGGCAAAGUCUCUUGAGUGAGUUAUUUGAAAUCCUACCUGAUCAUACCUGCACUGACUCACAGAAGUGCUAAACAACACACUGUAGGGACAUGCAAGCCAACUGCCCACCUUAGAAGCAGCAGUGUGUGGAGAGAGCUACCUCACUACUACUGUCAGCAUCAUGACAUUGUGAGUGGAGUCACUAGUACAUUUUUGGUACCAUAUUUCUCUGUAAAAUAUAGAUAUGUUUCUGUCAACUAAUUCCAAAGCUAGCACUAGCCUCUUGGAGCCACAGAUGAGUGAAAGAUACAGACCCCUUAGUCUUCUCAUAAGUGUCAGAAGACUCGUCCUUGCUUGGGUCUGUGCACUCUCACAGCUUUUGCCCUCACAGACAUUCUUUCCUCGCCUGCCGCUAAAGUGACUGAGGAAUGCUCAAAUCUCUCUUAAAUACACCUUUGCUGAAACCAUGGUCCAAAUCUUCAAAGGUGGAUUCAGGCAGUAAGACUCGGAUAUACAAAGUCACUUUUUCUAUUAUGUCCCAGGCUUUCUAAUCUGAUGUACUAUAUUACAUUGUUAGAGCGAUCAAGGUAACUAUAUUAUUAGAGUGAACGCUGCUUCCACUUAUGCUUCAGGCCAGCUGCUGCAGCCCCAGUACCUCCCUAGCCCGUUUCAGGAGUCGUCUCAUGCUGAGAGGCACUUAAUAUGUGACUAUUCUGUUCUGCAGGAUAGAUUUGACUAGUGUGGACACUGGCUAGUCCCAGAGAAUGGUCAUGGACAUAUUUCGCCAGUAAAAUGCAUUUAAAGAUACUUCUGGGAAAGAGAAUAUCAAGACCCAACAUCAGGAAGGAGAAGGAAAAGGAGGAGGAACUGCUAGGCAGCAAAUGAGUUCACCACUCAAAUAUGAGUUUCUUCCUCACAUAUACACUCCCACCCCAGUUCAUCACAGUGAAGAGAUCAAACAUGAAAACAUAAACAACAGAAGAUGAUUGUAUUCAGUAAAAAGAAUACAUCCACACAGAGCAGAGUUUGUACCUGGUACCUAAUUCUUACCAGACAUUUCCACUGACCUGGUUUUGUUAAAUAUGACCCAAGUAGAAAAAUAAGUCUCUCAUUUGGCAUCAAAUGCAAACUUUGUAUUGGCUUUUUUUUUUAGUGAGAACAUCAAAAUAAGCUUAUUUCAGUUAUAUUCACAUGCACCUCCCAACUUUGAAUUUUUCAGUUUGGCUGCUAAACCAAAAUAUCAGUUAUUCGCACAGCCCAGACAGUUCAGUAGUUGUAAUUAAUAGAAGUUACAGUUCAUUUGAACAUAUCCAAAUUCUUCACCCACAUUUCCAAAAUGCCUGAUCUUUCUUUGUGGAAUGUGUGUAUCAUGCAAAUCAAUAUUUAACAGAUUAUAUACUGUGCAAGCAUAUAUACAGGUGUCUCUUGAAAAGUACAAAAUUUGAGAGUCACCCAAACCCAUCUCAGUCCAAAAAUCCUUAUAUACAUCUAAUUGCUAUUUAGCAUUACAAUAAACUUCUAACACAAUGACUAGGAAACAUUCCAUGGUUCAACAAAGUCAAGGGACUGUGAAAGCAAGAGGCCAAUAAGGGUAAGCACACUCUACUUAUUUCAAGCCACAGUUUUACUUACUGCGUUGUUGAUUGUCAGUGCCAAAUUGUUAAGCAAGGAACCCCUGGCUCCUUUCUUUUAUCAUUCUCUGUGAUGCUUUAAUAUAGGAACAUUAUUGUGGAGCUUCUGCACCCGGACUUCUGCUUUUCCAGGCUCAAAUCCCAGAAUCACAGAAUAUACUGAGCUGGAAGGGACCCGCAUGAGGAUCAUCAAGUCCAAUGAGCAGUGCUUGCACUGAGUUAAGGUGUUUCACCCCACCCCAGCAGCGAAGAGGCUGUGACUGCACAAGAAGCUGGGAAGGGACACAGCCAGGACAGGUGACCCUAACUGACCACAGGAAUAUCCAGUACCAUAAAUCCGAGGGAAGAAGGAAGGGUGGAGGACGUUCUAAGUGAUGGUCUUUGUCUUUCCAAGACACUGAUAUGCGUGAUGGAGCCCUGCUUCCCUGGGGAUGGCUGAACACCUGCCUGUCAAUGGGAAGUGGUGAAUUAAUUCCUUGUUUUGCUUUGCUUUUGCACACAGCUUUUGCUUAAACUGUCUUUAUCUCAACUCGUGAGUAUUCUCACUUUUACCCUUCCAAUUCUCUCCUUCAUCCCAUCCAGGGGGAAGUGAGUGAGUGGCUGUGUGGGGCUGAGUUGGCAGCUGGGAUUAAACCAUGACAAUCACCCUCAAAUAUAUCUAUGCUGUAUUCACACCAUAGGAUGCAGUAUUAGGCCUACAUAAGAGCAUUCCACAAUUAAGUGAAAAUAUGAGCUUAAGGCUACUGUUGCUCAAAUGCAGCUUGGCCUUACCCUUGCCCUCAGAAUUGAGGAGUUAGCCAUUAUUUAAGCUCUCAGUGAGGAGCUUGUAAUUUACUUCAUAUCAGGAUCUGCCAGAUCUUUUGCAGACAGCCCUGACCUUGUUCUGCUUGUACUCAGAGCUGGCUGAAUGCAAGCAAGGUGUGAUCCAGAAUUCAAAUAUCUUCGUUAGGCCUCACAUUGCUCUGUGCAAGGCUUACUGUAUUGCUCCAAGCACGGUGCUUUCUGUUUAACUUAAGCUUUCAGGCUUGUACAUUGUUGGCUUAAAGUACAGUUGGAACAACUGUCUGUAAAAGUAUGAAAAUAUAUCUGCAAAAGUGUAUGCAUAAAUAUUUAUAGUCUAUCACUGUAAGCCAGGAUGUCAGGCUGCAGCCUUUUACUGGUAUUUUAAAAUUCUACUUGGAUCUCAAGCUUGGGGCUGUAACUGUCAUGCGGAGCCUUACACAUGUAAAUGCAGAACUCGUACUACAGACAAGUUCCACCACAAAAACAAAAUAAAAAUCACUGUCUACUUUGUAUGUAUUCUGAGUAUUCUACAACACCAGACUUAUGUCCACUUCUGAAUUCAUCCAUAUUUCUUACACUCAGGAGCAUUCUUGCAGUGAUUCUGCAGGAGGUAUCUCAGGAAGCAGGAUAAUUAUCAAAACAUGGCACAGAUUUAUUUAGUGUCUGCAUGGACCUUGCAGCUCUAGACCCCACUGACUUAGGCCAAUGGGUCCCAUGGAGAGAUUACUGAUCUGGUCAGCCAUGUCAGCUUCUACCAUAGGCUAAUAUGUAAAUCCUAUAUUCUUACCAGGUAUUUUACUAUGAUGUAUCUAGACUGAAGGGCUACUGCAGACUUUCUUGUUAUACUUGCUAUACCAUCUACUGCAGUAUUAAUGGAAUAUUUUAUAUAAAAUAUUAAUGGAAUAUUUUAUAUUUUGUAUAUAUAUAGCAUGUAUUUGCAAUAUUGUUCAAAAAAUUAUUGGAAUUUUAUCAUAUAUGUUUACCUUUAAAGCUUUCCACUCAAAUGAGAGCAACUAUAUUAGACUGUCAGGGAAAAACAAACUUACUAUAAUCUUUAGAUCUAAAUAUUCAAGAAUUCUUCAUUGGUUAUAGUAAAUCACAUUUCCUAGCUCUUUUGCUUACUCUUGCUCUCUAAUAUACAUGCACAAGACUACUUUGGCUAAAACUUCAUUGAUGAAAUAUGCAAGGUUAUUAUAUAUCUAAAAGUAUGGCUUUUAGGUGAUUUUCCUCUUUUUGUCUUUUUGCAGUUUCUUUUUGAAUUAUUAGUCUGGAUGGCUUGAAUGUGAAGAUAGAUGUACAGGUGUUACCCAUGAGCCUACUUAGAACUCCUAAAAUCUUUAAAGUUUUCUUUUCUUUGUCUGGUGUAUUUUAACUCACUGUGAUCUGAGUAAUUGAUUUUAGUCUGAUUGCUCAUGUGGGAUUCAAACAUUAAUAUUGCUAAAACUUUAAGGUCUCAUCAUGCUACAUUGUCAUCUCCUUAUACACUUUGUUUUGAUCUAGAUGUAAGAAAAAUCCUUUCAAAGAAUAAAAAUGCCAUUGUUUGUAGCCAUGUCAAGCAGUCAUGUUGUUAAAACUUUUUCUUUCCUCAUCAAGUCAUGACAGGAAUUGCGCCUUUGAAAAAGGGGCUGGCAACUCAGAAUAAAGCAGAACUGCCAAUGGAGAUCUGGUGUUUUAAAGUGAACCUGUCAUGAAUUCUAACUGUGCUGAAUGAAAUCACCCUCAGCCUCUCUUGCUUAUGAGGCACUCCACUUGCCUAGAAAAAUACUUAACUUUGCUCAACAUGUGUGACAGGCUUUUUUAUCUAUUUGUCUUUCCAUUCAAAAUACACAAGUCAUCAUGUUAUUGCAGUAAAUAUUCUUCUCAAAUGAGGCAAAAUUCUUUAAAAAAUAUAAAAGGAGUUUCAUCUUAUUAAGUCCUGAUAAAGUGGAAUAUCCCCACUUUCAACCCAGCCUUAGGUCAAUAAAUAAUGCCAUGGAAGUGGCCUGGAAUAAAGCAAGUAAAGUCAACAAAGUUUUCAAGAGGAAUUUUGUGUUACUGUAAUUUCCACUGAUCUGGAAAAAAACCCCAAAACAUAAGAACAGUAUUGAAGUGAAGGACACAUUGACCGUGUUCUGGAAAGACAAUGGUGUCAAAGAACCUGCAUAUAUGUGUCAGUAAAUAAUAAAGCAAACUAUUAAACUCUUU